UACGUAGGGGGCAAGCGUUGUCCGGAUUUAUUGGGCGUAAAGAGCGUGUAGGCGGCCUGACAGGUCUGCUGUGAAAACUCGAGGCUCAACCUCGAGAUGUCGGCGGAAACCGUCUGGCUAGAGUCCGGAAGAGGAGAGUGGAAUUCCUGGUGUAGCGGUGAAAUGCGCAGAUAUCAGGAGGAACACCAAUGGCGAAGGCAGCACUCUGGGACGGUACUGACGCUGAGACGCGAAAGCGUGGGGAGCAAACAGG
rnacentral:rRNA from 1 species